rnacentral:rRNA from 1 species
CUACGGGAGGCAGCAGUAGGGAAUAUUGCUUAAUGGGCGCAAGCCUGAAGCAGCAACGCCGCGUGUGCGAUGAAGGCCUUCGGGUCGUAAAGCACUUUUUGGAGGGAUGAGGAAGGACAGUACCUCCAGAAUAAGCCUCGGCUAACUACGUGCCAGCAGCCGCGGUAACACGUAGGAGGCAAGCGUUAUUCGGAUUUACUGGGCGUAAAGCGCAUGUAGGCGGAUCGGAAAGUUGGAUGUGAAAGCUCCCGGCCAAACUGGGAGAGGUCGUUCAAAACUACCGGUCUAGAGGAUGGGAGAGGGAGGUGGAAUUCCGGGUGUAGUGGUGAAAUGCGUAGAUAUCCGGAGGAACACCAGAGGCGAAAGCGGCCUCCUGGCCCGUACCUGACGCUCAGAUGCGAAAGCUAGGGGAGCAAACGGGAUUAGAAACCCUAGUAGUCC